rnacentral:rRNA from 1 species
AGUGAAUGCUGGCGGUAGGCCUAACACAUGCAAGUCGAACGGCAGCACAGUAAGAGCUUGCUCUUACGGGUGGCGAGUGGCGGACGGGUGAGGAAUACAUCGGAAUCUACUUUUUCGUGGGGGAUAACGUAGGGAAACUUACGCUAAUACCGCAUACGACCUACGGGUGAAAGCAGUGGAUCUUCUGACCUUGCGCGAUUGAAUGAGCCGAUGUCGGAGUAGCUAGUUGGCGGGGUAAAGGCCCACCAAGGCGACGAUCCGUAGCUGGUGUGAGUGGAUGAUCGGCCACACUGGAACUGGAACACGGUCCAGACUCCUACGGGAGGCAGCAGUGGGGAAUAUUGGACAAUGGGCGCAAGCCUGGUCCAGCCAUACCGCGUGGGUGAAGAAGGCCUUCGGGUUGUAAAGCCCUUUUGUUGGGAAAGAAAAGCAGCAGGUUAAUACCCCGCUGUUCUGACGGUACCCAAAGAAUAAGCACCGGCUAACUUCGUG